rnacentral:rRNA from 1 species
GACGAACGCUGGCGGCGUGCUUAACACAUGCAAGUCGAACGGAAAGGCCCUGCUUUUGUGGGGUGCUCGAGUGGCGAACGGGUGAGUAACACGUGAGUAACCUACCCUUGACUUUGGGAUAACUUCAGGAAACUGGGGCUAAUACCGGAUAGGAGCUCCUGCUGCAUGGUGGGGGUUGGAAAGUUUCGGCGGUUGGGGAUGGACUCGCGGCUUAUCAGCUUGUUGGUGGGGUAGUGGCUUACCAAGGCUUUGACGGGUAGCCGGCCUGAGAGGGUGACCGGCCACAUUGGGACCGAGAUACGGCCCAGACUCCUACGGGAGGCAGCAGUGGGGAAUAUUGCACAAUGGGCGGAAGCCUGAUGCAGCAACGCCGCGUGCGGGAUGACGGCCUUCGGGUUGUAAACCGCUUUCGCCUGUGACGAAGCGUGAGUGACGGUAAUGGGUAAAGAAGCACCGGCUAACUACGUG